GGGGCAGCAUGGUCUUAGCUUGCUAAGGCCGAUGGCGACCGGCGCACGGGUGAGUAACACGUAUCCAACCUGCCGUCUACUCUUGGACAGCCUUCUGAAAGGAAGAUUAAUACAAGAUGGCAUCAUGAGUCCGCAUGUUCACAUGAUUAAAGGUAUUCCGGUAGACGAUGGGGAUGCGUUCCAUUAGAUAGUAGGCGGGGUAACGGCCCACCUAGUCUUCGAUGGAUAGGGGUUCUGAGAGGAAGGUCCCCCACAUUGGAACUGAGACACGGUCCAAACUCCUACGGGAGGCAGCAGUGAGGAAUAUUGGUCAAUGGGCGAGAGCCUGAACCAGCCAAGUAGCGUGAAGGAUGACUGCCCUAUGGGUUGUAAACUUCUUUUAUAAAGGAAUAAAGUCGGGUAUGCAUACCCGUUUGCAUGUACUUUAUGAAUAAGGAUCGGCUAACUCCGUGCCAGCAGCCGCGGUAAUACGGAGGAUCCGAGCGUUAUCCGGAUUUAUUGGGUUUAAAGGGAGCGUAGAUGGAUGUUUAAGUCAGUUGUGAAAGUUUGCGGCUCAACCGUAAAAUUGCAGUUGAUACUGGAUAUCUUGAGUGCAGUUGAGGCAGGCGGAAUUCGUGGUGUAGCGGUGAAAUGCUUAGAUAUCACGAAGAACUCCGAUUGCGAAGGCAGCCUGCUAAG
rnacentral:rRNA from 1 species